CGGCGAAAGCGGUACGCGGCCAUGAGACUGACUGGUAUGAAGAUCCUUCUGCAGUUGCUUGCAAUUGCUCUGGCGUGCAGCAUGGUUUCGUCGUUUCCUUCGGAUGACCAGGACUGCCGUCAUGUCGCGUGCCCACAGUACUAUGUCGAGGGCUGCACGCCAAGAUACCCGCCGGGACGGUGCUGCCCAGACUGGUCCCACUGCGACCAGGGAGGUCCCUUACCAUUUUAACCAUUGCGCGGUUGAGAGAAGCCUUUGGUGACAGUCGCCUGCUAAUUCUAAACAAGUCAUCUUCUCAGCAACUGAAUAAAGUUUUUAAGUCUG